GUGGGGAAUUUUGGACAAUGGGCGCAAGCCUGAUCCAGCAAUGCCGCGUGCAGGAAGAAGGCCUUCGGGUUGUAAACUGCUUUUGUACGGAACGAAACGGUCCUGGUUAAUACCCGGGGCUAAUGACGGUACCGUAAGAAUAAGCACCGGCUAACUACGUGCCAGCAGCCGCGGUAAUACGUAGGGUGCAAGCGUUAAUCGGAAUUACUGGGCGUAAAGCGUGCGCAGGCGGUGCUGUAAGACAGGCGUGAAAUCACCGGGCUUAACCUGGGAAUUGCGCUUGUGACUGCAGUGCUGGAGUGCGGCAGAGGGGGAUGGAAGUCCGCGUGUAGCAGUGAAAUGCGUAGAUAUGCGGAGGAACACCGAUGGCGAAGGCAAUCCCCUGGGCCUGCACUGACGCUCAUGCACGAAAGCGUGGGGAGCAAACAGGAUUAGAUACCCCGGUAGUCC
rnacentral:rRNA from 1 species